GAUGAACGCUGGCGGCGUGCUUAACACAUGCAAGUCGAACGGAAAGGCUCCUGCUUGCAGGGGUACUCGAGUGGCGAACGGGUGAGUAACACGUGGGUGAUCUGCCCUGCACUUCGGGAUAAGCCUGGGAAACUGGGUCUAAUACCGGAUAGGACCACAUUUUGGAUGGUGUGGUGGAAAGUUUUUCGGUGUGGGAUGAGCUCGCGGCCUAUCAGCUUGUUGGUGGGGUACUGGCCUACCAAGGCGUCGACGGGUAGCCGGCCUGAGAGGGUGUACGGCCACAUUGGGACUGAGAUACGGCCCAGACUCCUACGGGAGGCAGCAGUGGGGAAUAUUGCACAAUGGGCGCAAGCCUGAUGCAGCGACGCCGCGUGGGGGAUGACGGCCUUCGGGUUGUAAACACCUUUCGCUAGGGACGAAGCGCAAGUGACGGUACCUGGAGAAGAAGCACCGGCUAACUACGUG
rnacentral:rRNA from 1 species